rnacentral:sRNA from 1 species
CCUUCGGUCCCUGAUAGCGGGAGCCUGGACCUCUGAGGCCGAGAGGGUGCUGUGUCCCCGGCCUCCGAGCCGAGGUGGCCCGGCUAGGGGGCGCCUCCGAGACUUUAUUUUUUCCAGGAUCCUCCCCGGUCCCUGCCAGCGGGAGCAUGGACUUCUGAGGCCGAGGGGAAGCUGUGUUCCAGGCUAUCUACCAUGGCCUCCUCGGUCUGUGAGCACUCAGGGUUCUAAGGUCGACCAGUUGUUCCUUUGCGGUCCGGUUCUCUUUCUACAUGGGGACCUCUUGGGGACACGUCACCGAACAUGACUUCCAGACGUUCCGUGUGGCCUGUCAUGUUUAUCCCUGUGUCUUUUACACUUUUCAUCUUUGCUAUCUGUCCUUAUUGUACCUGGAGAUAUAUGCUGACACGCUGUCCUUUUGACUCUUUUUGUCAUUAAAGGACGUUGGAAGAGGCUUGCACCAAGGCUG